AUGUGAGCAUGGUGACGUGGUCACACAGCAACAGCAAUAAGGAGCUGAAGCAGGAGAACUCAGCUUUGGCAGAGCAGCUUCAAGUUGUACUGAUUGACAAGGCAGGGAUGCAGUGUGACUUGGAGGAGCUGAAAAAGAAACUGGAACUCACUGAGCUCACGCUUCAACAGGUGAUGGAGUGGCUGAAGUAUCUGCAAAUGGAGAGAGAGCAGUAUGCCGAGUAUCUGCAUGGAGAGAGUGCCAUGUGGUGGCAGAGGAUGCGGGAGAUGUCAGAGCAGGUGCACACGUUGAGGGAGGAGAGAGUGCACAGCAUGAGUCGAGUACAGGAGCUGGAGACGAUCUUGGCUGAACUAAGGAACCAGCUGAACCCCUGCCCCCGGAGCCUCCAGCAGGGCCCUCCGAAGUGGAGCAGAAGCUACAAGCAGAGGCUGAGCACCUGUGGAAGGAGCUGGAGAAUCUGGCAGGACAGCUUCAAGCCCAAGUGGAAGAAAAUGAGGGCUUGAGUCACCUGAACCAAGAGCAGGAAGAGGUUGCUCAGGUUGUUGGAGCAAGAGGAGAAGUUGCUGGAGCAAGAGGAGAGGUUGCUGGAGCAAGAGGAGAGGUUGCUGGAGCAAGAGGAGAGGCUACUGGAGCUGCAGGAGAGCCUGCUAGAGCAGAAGCGGAAGGCCGCUUCCUUUCUCAGCUGAACCCCUACCCGGAGCCCCCAGCAGGGCCCUCCGAGGUGGAACAGCAGCUACAAGCAGAGGCUGAACACCUGCGGAAGGAGCUGGAGAAUCUGGCAGGACAGCUUUAAGCCCAAGUGGAAGAAAAUGAGGGCUUGAGUCGCCUGAACGAAGAGCAGGAAGAGGUUGCUGAGAUUGUUGGAACAAGACGAGAGGUUGUUGGAGCAAGAGGAGAGGUUGCUGGAGCAAGAGGAGAGGUUGCUGGAGCUGCAGGAGAGGCUGCUAGAGCAGAAGCGGAAGGCCGCUUCCUUUCUCAGCUGAACCCCUACUCCCGGAGCCCCCAGCAGGGCCCUCCGAGGUGGAGCAGCAGCUACAAGCAGAGGCUGAACACCUGCGGAAGGAGCUGGAGAAUCUGACAGGACAGCUUUAAGCCCAUGUGCAAGAAAAUGAGGGCUUGAGUCGCCUGAACCAAGAGCAGGAAGAGGUUGCUGGAGCAAGAGGAGAGGAUGCUGGAGCAAGAGGAGAGGCUGCUGGAGCUUGAGUGGAAAGCCGAGCCUUGAGAGGAGCAGGUGGAGGCGCUCAGGCAUACCGUGCGGAACGACCGUACCACCAUCAGGCGCGCGCUCUCCCAGAAACACGAACUGAAGAA
rnacentral:lncRNA from 1 species